rnacentral:rRNA from 1 species
AGUAACACGUGAAUCACAUGCCCUUCAGUGGGGGAUAGCCCAGGGAAACUUGGAUUAAUACCCCAUGGUCUCGCGAGAGUAAAGGCGGCUUCGGCUGUCGCUGAAGGAUUGGUUCGCGCCCUAUCAGCUUGUUGGCGGGGUAACGGCCCACCAAGGCUACGACGGGUACCUGGUUUGAGAGGACGAUCAGGCACACUGGAACUGAGACACGGUCCAGACACCUACGGGUGGCAGCAGUCGAGAAUAAUUCACAAUGGGGGCAACCCUGAUGGUGCAACGCCGCGUGGAGGAUGAAGGUCUUCGGAUUGUAAACUCCUGUCAUCCGGGAGUAAGACCUGGCGGUUAACAGCCGACAGGGUUGAUAGUACCGGAAGAGGAAGGGACGGCUAACUUCGUGCCAGCAGCCGCGGUAAUACGAAGGUCCCGAGCGUUGUUCGGAAUCACUGGGCGUAAAGGGAGCGUAGGCGGUGCGGUAAGUCAGAUGUGAAAUCCCGGGGCUCAACCCCGGAACUGCAUCCGAUACUGCCGUGCUAGAGCAAUGGAGGGGUAGCCGGAAUUCUCGGUGUAGCAGUGAAAUGCGUGGAUAUCGAGAGGAACACUCGUGGCGAAGGCGGGCUACUGGACAUUUGCUGACGCUGAGGCUCGAAGGCCGGGGGAGCGAAAGGGAUUAGAUACCCCUGUAGUCCCGGCAGUAAACGGGUGUGCGCUUGGUGUGAGAGGA